rnacentral:rRNA from 1 species
AUUGAACGCUGGCGGUAUGCUUAACACAUGCAAGUCGAACGGUAACAGGCCUUCGGGCGCUGACGAGUGGCGGACGGGUGAGUAACGCGUAGGAAUCUGCCUCAUAGUGGGGGACAACGUGGGGAAACUCACGCUAAUACCGCAUACGCCCUACGGGGGAAAGCGGGGGAUCUUCGGACCUCGCGCUAUGAGGUGAGCCUGCGUUAGAUUAGCUAGUUGGUAGGGUAAAGGCCUACCAAGGCGACGAUCUAUAGCUGGUCUGAGAGGACGAUCAGCCACACUGGGACUGAGACACGGCCCAGACUCCUACGGGAGGCAGCAGUGGGGAAUAUUGGACAAUGGGCGCAAGCCUGAUCCAGCAAUACCGCGUGUGUGAAGAAGGCCCUAGGGUUGUAAAGCACUUUCAAUUGGGAGGAAAACCUGCCGGUCAAUACCCGGCAGCUUGACAUUACCUUUAGAAGAAGCACCGGCUAACUCCGUGCCAGCCGCCGCAGUAAAAC